ensembl:lncRNA
GUCAUUAUCGCUGGCAGCCAUGGUGAAGGCUGCGACCUCCAGAGCCCAGAAGGAGGCACCUCUGUCUCAUUCAAAAUAGAACAGGAAAAAUUGGACGGUUUGACUACAGAAGAACACCAUGUCUGCAUCUUAGAGCAUUCCCACCUCAUCAUGGUGCCCCCAUUGAAAUGAGGCCAGAGGUAAAGUGAAACUGUAGAACCCAGGCCACUUUCAACUGGUACUGCAUACCACAUCUCACUUCUUCAUGUCAAUCCACCAUCCUGAAAAUUUGUGCCUCAGAUACACAGGGCACCAGCUCACGUGCGUUGCAGAUAUCAUUCAUAGACCCCUGAUGAUGUCCCAAGGAAGAAGAUCGUGACUCUUCUAUCACUGUGCAGGUUGGGAACCUGUGGACUAUAUGAGAGACAUGGUGGUUUAGAUCGGUCACAGAUCUGGGAAGGCAAGCACAGAAAGAAAGGUCUGAAUUCAGAUUCGUCUCAGGAAAGUAGGACCUUCCUUGCAUUUUCAGAGAGUGCUGGCUAUGGUAUUUUUGGCUCCUGAUGUAAAGUUAACAAGAUAAUGUGGGGCAAGCAGUCAUCUGCCAAGAAGGGGCUCUGGAUAAGUCUGACUGAAGGGAGGGGCACAAGGGCUGGAAUCUUGAAAAAGUGACGUCACUUCCUUGGGGACAAGCUUGUAACGGAUUUAGAACUCUGGUAACCAGGAAGCUGCAUUGAACAAUGUCCCUCUUUCCAGAUCACAUAACUGGAGCCAGUCAGGAGAACAAGAUCUUCUGUUGCUGUUGCCCUACUUUCAGUGGCUCUGGGCUUAGGAGAGUCCAGAAAGAGAGAUGUUCAUGCCACUAUGGACGUCAGUAUGGCCCUCUUUCCGAAGGUUCUGGUUAUGUGCAGGAGACUUCAACAGAGCUUCACCCAGGAGAAUUUGGAGGAGAUGUUCUGUGGCUUCAACUCUUCUAACUCCCUAGACAAUGAUCGGGUGGACCAGGCAAAGAAGGAGCAGUGCUGUUCUGAGGUAUCCUGUGUAGAACACAGCUCCACUGUCGUUGCACAAUGUCUGCAUGCCUCACAAAAGAUCAUACUAAAGAGGGUGAUUUAAGACAAAAGGAAGCGUGGGAUGAAGCCAUUCUCUAUGUUUAUCUCUAAGGUGUCAUGUGUCAGAACACAUCAGAUCAUUGUAGGCCCAACGGGUCAUGAGCUGUGUCCUAGUAGUACUCCAUCAAUGGGGCCGUCUGCCACAGUGAUUCAGCCAUUCAAGGUCCUUGGCACUUGACAUGAUGCCAUUCUCUUUCCAUGUCUGCCGUGCUGCAAGGAGCACCUUGUUUGUCUCCACAGACUGUUUAAGUUGCUUGAUCUGCCAUAACCUGGAAACCCAGUUUGGGUGGAAGCCCUCUGAUGCCUCCUGACCCAAGUAGCUGGCUCUGUCUUUUUUGUAGAGAUCCACACAGGAAAUCUAGGAUGAUGCCUAACCCUGACCCUGACCCUAAUCCUGACCCCUAAACCUGUGGCCUAACCGUGACCCUAUCCCUGCAGCCUAACACCGAGGCCUUACCGUGAACCUCACCCGAACCCUAACCCCGACCCAAACCCUAACCCAAAACCUAACCCUGAGGCCUAACCCUGACCCUAAACCCUAACACUGAGGCCUAACACUAAUCUUAUCCCUGAGGCCUAACCACUAAGCCUGAGGCCAAACCCUGAGGCCUAACACUAAUUCUAACCCUGAGGCCUAACCCCUUACACUGAGGCCUAACCCUAACCCUAACCCCUAACCCUCAGGCCUAACACCUCGGCCAAUCCCUGAGGCAUAAACCUAAACCCUAACCCUGAUGCCUAAUGCUUACCCUAACCCUGAGUCCUAAACCUAACUCUGAGGCCUAAACCUGAGGGCUAACCCUGAGGCCUAACCAGUGCUCUAACGCUGAGACCUAACCCUAACCCUAACCCUCACCCUGAGGUCUAAACCUGAGGCCUCACCCAGAGGCUUAAACCUAAACCCUAUCCCUUAGGCCUAACCCUAACACUGACUCCAGGCCUAACACUAAACCUAACCCUAAACCAUAAUCCUAACCCUAACCCCUAGGCCUAACCCAUAACCCUAACCCCUCAGCCUAACCCCUAACACUAACCAUGAGGCCUAACCCUAACCCCUAACCCUAAGGCCUAGCCCUAGCCCCUAACCCUGAGACCUAAACCUAACCCUAGCCCUGAGGCCUAACCCUAACACUAACCCUAACUCCUUACCUUAAUCCUAACCCUGACCCCAAGGCCUAACCCCUAACCCUAAUCUCUCGGCCUACCCAAUAACCCUAAAACUUCGGCCUACCCAAACCCCUAACCUUGAGGCCUAACCCUAGCCCCUAACCCUGAGGUCUAACCCUAACCCUAACACUAACCUCUAAUCCUGAGGCCUAACCCCUAGGCCCAAACCUGAGGCCUAAACAUAAAACCUAACCAUGAGGUCUAACACUAACCCCUAACCCUAAGGCCUAACCCUAAACCUAUCCCUACCUCCUUACCCUAACCCUAACCCUGAAGCCUAACUCUAACCCUAACCCUAACCCUAAUCCUAACCCUAACCCUGACCCUGAUCCUAACCCUGACCCUGAACCUGACCCUAAACCUAACCAUAACCCAAACCCUAACCCUGAGGCCUAACCCUGAGGCCUAACUCUAACCCAUAACCCUGAGGCUUAACACUAACCCUAACCCUAACCCCUAACACUGAGUCCUAACCCCUAGGCCUAACCAUGAGGCCUAAACCUAAACCCUAACCCUGAAGCCUAACCCUAACCCUAACCCUGAGGCCUAAACCUAACCCUAAGGCCUAACCCUGAGGCCUAACCACUAACCCUGAGGCCAAAUCCUGAGGCCUAAACCUAACUCUAGCCCUGAGGCUAACCCCUAACACUGAGCCCUAACCCUAACCCUAACCAUAACCCCUAUCCCUGAGGCUUAACCCUAACCCUAACCCUGAGGCCUAACACGGAGUCCUUACCCUGAGGCCUAAAUGUAACCUCUAACUCUAACCCUAACCCUAAACCCUAACUCUGAGGCCUAACCCCUAGGCCUAAACCUAAGGCCUAAACCUAAACCCUAACUCUGAGGCCUAAACCUGAGGUCUAACCCUGAGGCCUUACCCUGAGGCCUAACCCUGAGGCCUAAGCCUAACCAAUAACCCUGAGGCCUAAACCUAAACCUAACCCUAACCCUAAACCCUAACCCCCAGGCCUAACCCCUAACCCUAACCCCUCAGCCUAACCCCUUACCUUAACCCUGAGGCCUAACCCUAACCCCUAACACUGAGGCCUAACCCUAACCCUAACCCUGAGGCCUGACUCUAAACCUAACCCUAACCUCUUGCACUACCCUAACCCUGAAGCCUAACUCUAACCCUAAUCCUAACCCUAACCCUAAACCUGACACUGACCCUAACCCUGACCAUGACCCUAACCCUAACCCUGACCUGACCCUACCCCUACCCCUGACCCUAACCCUGAGCCUGACCCUAACCCUGACCCUAAUCCUAACCCGAAUCCAAACCCUAACCCGAACCCUAACCCUAACUCUAACCCAAACCCUAACCCUACCCCGAACCUGAACCCUAACCCUAACCCGAACCCAAACCCGAACCCUAAACCGAACCCGAACUCUAACCCGAACCCGAACCCUCACCCUCACCCUAACCCUAGCCCAAACCCUAACCCGAACCCUAACCCUAACCCGAACCCUAACCCGAUCCCGAACCCUAACCCUAACCGUAACCCUAACCAGAUAUACAACUAAAUAAAAAUCUUUUACUCCACA